rnacentral:rRNA from 1 species
UGGGGAAUAUUGCACAAUGGGCGCAAGCCUGAUGCAGCCAUGCCGCGUGUGUGAAGAAGGCCUUCGGGUUGUAAAGCACUUUCAGCGAGGAGGAAGGUGGUGAGCUUAAUACGCUCAUCAAUUGACGUUACUCGCAGAAGAAGCACCGGCUAACUCCGUGCCAGCAGCCGCGGUAAUACGGAGGGUGCAAGCGUUAAUCGGAAUUACUGGGCGUAAAGCGCACGCAGGCGGUUUGUUAAGUCAGAUGUGAAAUCCCCGGGCUCAACCUGGGAACUGCAUUUGAAACUGGCAAGCUAGAGUCUCGUAGAGGGGGGUAGAAUUCCAGGUGUAGCGGUGAAAUGCGUAGAGAUCUGGAGGAAUACCGGUGGCGAAGGCGGCCCCCUGGACGAAGACUGACGCUCAGGUGCGAAAAGCGUGGGGAGCAAAACAGGAUUAGAUACCCUGGUAGUCCACGCUGUAAAACGAUGUCGAUUUUGGAGGUUGUGCCCUUGAGGCGUGGCUUCCGGAGCUAACGCGUUAAAUCGACCGCCUGGGGAGUACGGCCGCAAGGUUAAAACUCAAAUGAAUUG